rnacentral:rRNA from 1 species
AGCGAACGCUGGCGGCAUGCCUAACACAUGCAAGUCGCACGGGGGGGCUUCGGCCUCCCAGUGGCGGACGGGUCGGGAACGCGUCGGGACCUGUCGAGGGGUGGGGGAUAACCGCGGGAAACUGCGGCUAAUACCGCAUGACGCCGCGGCGUGACAGCCGGGGCCAAAGGCGAAAGCCGCCCGCCGCGGGGCGUGCGUCCGAUUCGCUGGUUGGCGGGGGAGCGGCGCACCAAGGGGUCGACCGGUAGCUGGGCUGUGAGGGUGAUCAGCCACACCGGGACUGAGACACGGCCGGGAAUCCUACGCAAGGCAGCAGUGGGGGAUAUAGGAAAACGGGGGCAAGCAUGAAGGAGCAAGGCUGGUUGGGUGAAGAAGUUCUGCGGAUAGUAAAGCCCGUUCGGCGGGGCCGAUGGUGACGGUACCCGCAGAAGAAGCCCCGGCUAACUUCGUG